UAUAUCUAGUACACACACAACGUCGCGUCUGCCAGCCGGCUGAUUUGCCAAACUUAUUUAAAAAUUGGUCAAAUACAAAACAUUCGCCAUAUCCUGAAUAGUGUGGCCAGUUGAUUUGUCGAAUGCCGAACUAUCGUGUGCCCGAUCUCGAAUCAUUUUCCGAAUCCCAAUAGUGGAGUCGUACCAUAA